GGAUGAAUAGCUCCAAUGGUAGAGCAGCGGCCUGAAAAGCCGUGGUUGCAGGUUCAAAUCCCGCUUCAUCCG
rnacentral:tRNA from 1 species